UACGGAGGGGGCUAGCGUUAUUCGGAAUUACUGGGCGUAAAGCGCGUGUAGGCGGUUUGGCAAGUCAGAGGUGAAAUCCCAGAGCUUAACUUUGGAAUUGCCUUUGAAACUAUCAGACUUGAAUUCGGUAGAGGAUAGUGGAAUUCCUAGUGUAGAGGUGAAAUUCGUAGAUAUUAGGAGGAACACCAGUGGCGAAGGCGACUGUCUGGGCCGAUAUUGACGCUAAGACGCGAAAGCGUGGGGAGCGAACAGG
rnacentral:rRNA from 1 species